rnacentral:rRNA from 1 species
UACGUAGGGGGCAAGCGUUGUCCGGAAUUAUUGGGCGUAAAGAGCGUGUAGGCGGCCAGAUAAGUCCGCUGUGAAAUCUCGAGGCUCAACUUCGAGCUGUCGGUGGAAACUAUCUGGCUAGAGUCCGGAAGAGGAGAAUGGAAUUCCUGGUGUAGCAGUGAAAUGCGUAGAGAUCAUGAGGAAGACCAGUGGCGAAGGCGGGUCUCUGGACAGUUCCUGACACUGAGACACGAAGGCCAGGGGAGCAAACGGG